CACCAGCGCCACAAGUGGCAAUCGCAUAUUGGGCCUAAAGCGUCCGUAGUUGGUUUGGUACAUCUCUUGUGAAAUUGUUGAGCUUAACUCAACAGCGUGCGGGAGACACGGCCUUACUUGGAACCGGGAGGAGUCAGAAGUAUUUCGGGGGGAGCGGUAAAAUGUGAUAAUCCUCGAAGGACUACCUGUGGCAAAGGCGUCUGACUAGAACGGAUUCGACAAUCAGGGACGAAGGCUAGGGGAGCAAACC
rnacentral:rRNA from 1 species